rnacentral:RNase_P_RNA from 1 species
ACAGCAAGUUAGAUUAUCGCCCCCGCACCAAGUUUUAUAUGACAAUAUUACUUAUCAAUUCGUUCUAAAAAACUAAACCUGAACUAGAUUUAUUGAUAAAAAUUAUCUUGUAAAACUUGGUGCGGGGGAGGAAAGUCCGAACACCCAUUCCAAAUAUUUGGGAUGAAGUAGACAGUUGCUAACGGCAACCGUUCCGCACUUUUAGCUAAAGGUGCGGGAUAGGGAAAGUGCCGCAGAGACUAUACUAAUCAUUGCCUAGCAAUGAUGAAAGGUGAAAAGUUGAGUGAUUUUUAGUUUGUUUUGCAAACUGAAAUUACAUUCUUUCCUUGUCGGUGACGGCAAGUGAUGGUAAACCCUGUCUGGUGCAAGAACAAAUCCCGAGCAAUCGGGAAAAAAGUGGUUCGCUUGACCCCGAUAGCAAUGUCGGGGCUAGAUAGAUGAUAAUCGUUCCGAGCAAUCGGAAAACAAAAUUCGGCUUAUUACUUGUUGUUUUA